AAACUUUAUGUAUUCUCAGGAAUAUUAUUACUUUUGAGGCUAGAAAUGUAUGCAUCCGCAUCUUUGCCUACCAUGUUUAAUUUAAAGAUACUGUAGCUCAAUCAUCAGACCUUUGCUGUAAAAUCUGAUUCAGUACAUUUCCCAAAGGUGACAUGAUGUCAUGGGAUUUUAUGGACCCAAGGCUGACCCAGAAAUUAUGGAAAUUCAGCAAAGUUAACCAUAUAUUUUAAAUGCAUUGGUGCUUAUUACAGGAAGCCUACCUGUCUGUCCAUCCAUCAUCUUGCCUUCUAUCAGCCUUGUGAGAUCUAUAUGUAUGUUUUUCAUAAUUCUAAUUUUCUAAGCCUUUUAAAAUAUAAAUUGAACUUUGCAAAUUGUAGCUCUCAAACAUGGGAACUUCCCCCCCCCCUCAACUGAAAAACCUUUACUUUACUAAGUUCCAACACUGCUACUAAAAAUUGCUAAUAUUCAAAUAUAGGAUUUUAGAAAGACUAA